rnacentral:rRNA from 1 species
AUUGAACGCUGGCGGCAGGCUUAACACAUGCAAGUCGAGCGGAGCGGCGGACGGGUGAGUAAUGCCUAGGUAUCUGCCUGGCAGUGGGGGAUAACGUCCGGAAACGGGCGCUAAUACCGCAUACUAUCAGAUGAGCCUAGGUCGGAUUAGCUAGUUGGUGGGGUAAAGGCCUACCAAGGCGACGAUCCGUAACUGGGCUGAGAGGAUGAUCAGUCACACUGGACCUGAGGCACGGUCCAGACUCCUACGAGAGGCAGCGGUGGGGAAUAUUGGACAAUGUGCGAAAUCCUGAUCCAGCCAUGCCACGUGUGUGAAGAAGGUCUUCGGAUUGUAAGGCUCUUUAAGUUGGGAGGCGUUACCAACAGAAUAAGCACCGGCUAACUACGUGCCAGCAGCCGCGGUAAUUC